AUAUAAGUAAGUGGAGGAAAAGAAACUAAAUAGGAUUCCCUCAGUAAUGGCGAAUGAACAGGGAUGAGCUCAGCAUGGAAAUCGGGGUCUAUGGCCUUGAAUUGUAGUCUGGAGAUGCACUGCCAACGGAAGCGCAGAUGUAAGCCUCUUGGAAAAGAGCAUCAAUGAGGGUGAGAGUCCCGCUUGUUGUCUGUAGUCCUCCGUGUACGGUGUGCUUUCCAAGAGUCACGUUCCUCGGGAUUGGAGCGCAAGUG
rnacentral:rRNA from 1 species